UGUUUCGGCUAGGGGGUCAUCCCGACUUACCAACCCGAUGCAAACUACGAAUACCGAAGAAUGUUAUCACGGGAGACACACGGCGGGUGCUAACGUCCGUCGUGAAGAGGGAAACAACCCAGACCGCCAGCUAAGGUCCCAAAGUCACAGUUAAGUGGGAAACGAUGUGGGAAGGCACAGACAGCCAGGAUGUUGGCUUAGAAGCAGCCAUCAUUUAAAGAAAGCGUAAUAGCUCACUGGUCGAGUCGGCCUGCGCGGAAGAUGUAACGGGGCUAAACUGUGCACCGAAGCUGCGGCAGCGACACUAUGUGUUGUUGGGUAGGGGAGCGUUCUGUAAGCCUGCGAAGGUGGCCUGUGAGGGUUGCUGGAGGUAUCAGAAGUGCGAAUGCUGACAUAAGUAACGAUAAUGCGGGUGAAAAGCCCGCACGCCGGAAGACCAAGGGUUCCUGUCCAACGUUAAUCGGGGCAGGGUGAGUCGACCCCUAAGGCGAGGCCGAAAGGCGUAGUCGAUGGGAAACAGGUUAAUAUUCCUGUACUUGGUGUUACUGCGAAGGGGGGACGGAGAAGGCUAUGUUAGCCGGGCGACGGUUGUCCCGGUUUAAGCAUGUAGGCGGAGGUUCCAGGUAAAUCCGGUACCUUUUAACGCUGAGGUGUGAUGACGAGGCACUACGGUGCUGAAGUAACAAAUGCCCUGCUUCCAGGAAAAGCCUCUAAGCAUCAGGUAACAUUGAAUCGUACCCCAAACCGACACAGGUGGUCAGGUAGAGAAUACCAAGGCGCUUGAGAGAACUCGGGUGAAGGAACUAGGCAAAAUGGUGCCGUAACUUCGGGAGAAGGCACGCUGAUAUGUAGGUGAAGCCCCUGCGGGUGGAGCUGAAAUCAGUCGAAGAUACCAGCUGGCUGCAACUGUUUAUUAAAAACACAGCACUGUGCAAACACGAAAGUGGACGUAUACGGUGUGACGCCUGCCCGGUGCCGGAAGGUUAAUUGAUGGGGUUAUCCGUAAGGAGAAGCUCUUGAUCGAAGCCCCGGUAAACGGCGGCCGUAACUAUAACGGUCCUAAGGUAGCGAAAUUCCUUGUCGGGUAAGUUCCGACCUGCACGAAUGGCGUAAUGAUGGCCAGGCUGUCUCCACCCGAGACUCAGUGAAAUUGAACUCGCUGUGAAGAUGCAGUGUACCCGCGGCAAGACGGAAAGACCCCGUGAACCUUUACUAUAGCUUGACACUGAACAUUGAGCCUUGAUGUGUAGGAUAGGUGGGAGGCUUUGAAGCGUGGACGCCAGUCUGCGUGGAGCCAACCUUGAAAUACCACCCUUUAAUGUUUGAUGUUCUAACGUUGGCCCCUAAUCGGGGUUGCGGACAGUGUCUGGUGGGUAGUUUGACUGGGGCGGUCUCCUCCCAAAGAGUAACGGAGGAGCACGAAGGUUAGCUAAUCCUGGUCGGACAUCAGGAGGUUAGUGCAAUGGCAUAAGCUAGCUUGACUGCGAGCGUGACGGCGCGAGCAGGUGCGAAAGCAGGUCAUAGUGAUCCGGUGGUUCUGAAUGGAAGGGCCAUCGCUCAACGGAUAAAAGGUACUCCGGGGAUAACAGGCUGAUACCGCCCAAGAGUUCAUAUCGACGGCGGUGUUUGGCACCUCGAUGUCGGCUCAUCACAUCCUGGGGCUGAAGUAGGUCCCAAGGGUAUGGCUGUUCGCCAUUUAAAGUGGUACGCGAGCUGGGUUUAGAACGUCGUGAGACAGUUCGGUCCCUAUCUGCCGUGGGCGCUGGAGAAUUGAGGGGGGCUGCUCCUAGUACGAGAGGACCGGAGUGGACGCAUCACUGGUGUUCGGGUUGUCAUGCCAAUGGCAUUGCCCGGUAGCUAAAUGCGGAAGAGAUAAGUGCUGAAAGCAUCUAAGCACGAAACUUGCCCCGAGAUGAGUUCUCCCUGAGACUUUAAGUCUCCUGAAGGAACGUUAAAGACGAUGACGUUGAUAGGUCGGGUGUGUAAGCGUAGCGAUACGUUGAGCUAACCGAUACUAAUGAACCGUGAGGCUUAACCUU
rnacentral:rRNA from 1 species